rnacentral:lncRNA from 1 species
GGUUGUGUUCGUGCGAACCAGGGGAGGAAGAAAGGGGAGCCAAAAACCCUAACUGCUAGAUAUCAAGAAAUUGAAGCCUAAAUCACAAGAAAAUUCGAUGCAUGGGUCCUCUUUUUCGAAAAUCUAACCCUAACUAAUGAAGUGGAACGUGUCAAGGAGAGCUCAAGCAUAGGAGGAUAACGGGUCAAGAUAAGGCAAGGUGACAAAUACACUUAUUGGAAUACUCAAGGUUAUGAAUGUCGGACUUUCGAAGUGUUGAUAUAAUAAUGAAACGGUUGAAUGUUGAAAGGAUAAUCGGAUUGAAGUAACUUAUGCGGUUAGAAUAUGCUAUGGACGUUUUAGUUUAUACAAUAUUAUAUGUUUGGUCGUCACCAUCUACUAACAGGUUAGUUGUAUGAGAGUAUAUGUCAUACCCAUUUAAUUGGGUAAUCGAAUGCGUAAGAGAAAUGAAAGUAAGCACACGAAUGGAACUAAAAUGACGGUUUUAUAAGCAAACAAGUAUAAUGACUAACUUUUUAAAGCUUUGUUGUUGAAUGUAGGUAAUUCCUCAAUUUUGGCGACUUGGAGAAUCGGAGCGAGCGCGUGUUCGUGUUAUGCGAUACCAAACGCUUCCGCUAGCUUGUUCAAAUGUUUUUGAUCCAAAAUUUGUUGUAUUGGUAUUUAGUAGUAUCUUGUUGAACGAAUUGUAGAAUUGUAUCUAGUUUGUUUAUGUUUAAAACAGGG